CACGUAGGGCGCAAGCGUUGUCCGGAAUUAUUUGGGCGUAAAGAGCUCGUAGGCGGUCUGUUGCGUCCGCUGUGAAAACUCGGGGCUUAACCCCGAGCCUGCAGUGGAUACGGGCAGACUAGAGGUAGGUAGGGGAGAAUGGAAUUCCCGGUGUAGCGGUGAAAUGCGCAGAUAUCGGGAGGAACACCGGUGGCGAAGGCGGUUUCUCUGGGCCUUACCUGACGCUGAGGAGCGAAAGCAUGGGGAGCGAACAGG
rnacentral:rRNA from 1 species